rnacentral:lncRNA from 1 species
UGUUAUAGUAAGUAGCCUACAAGCCUAGAUGUAAAAGCAUAGAUAAUAGAUCUACAAAGGGUAAAAGUAACCAUAAAAUUAUUUAUGGCAUAAAAUUCGAAAUGGUUUUCGCAGUUUAACGUAUUAUAUUUAUCAAUUUUUGUUUCCUGAUGGUUUCUUGCUUGCGCACGUGCACGUAGCCCCUUACGGAGUUUUACCUCAGUGUUUUGAGUUAUUGAUCAAAUCAACACUACAUUGGAAAGCUUUCAACUGUUAAUUUAGGCAUGCUAUUAAAGACAGCAAGGAUAUUACAAUUAGGAGCCGUAAAAACACCGGAUACAUGUGUUAUGAAACAUUGGUGUCCCUAUCACUGCAAAGUAGCAGUACCUACAGUCCUUAGGAAAAGAUGAAGGCGCAUUUCUUGCAUUGGAAACGGAGAAAAUGUGUUAUUGUUAAAGGAAGGAUUUAUGACAUGAAUUGAUUGACAACAAAUAAGAGAGAUUAGGAUAUUAAUUUUGAUCCUAGGGAUGAGGACGUGGGAUAUCUGCACUGGUAUCCUUUUUUAAUUUGGUUUACUGUCCAUAUAUGUGGACCAUGGAACGUUGAAUUCUAGAGCGAAUUCAGGUAAUAAUACAUAUUUAAAUUAGUAUUAAUUAUACUUUAUUAAUCUGUUGCCAAUUUGGUUAACAAAAGACAUCCUGGAACAUAACGCAUAGGAGGACAAGAAUGAGUUGCUUCCUUGUAUAAAUACCGUUAGAUUGACCAUUAUUGAGUUGGGGUUGUAGGUAAUUGCGAACUUCAGUCUAGCAAAUUUUUUCUAAAAAGGCCUGGCUUUCGUUUAUAGCUCCACUACAUUUUGUCACAAAAAUUUAUAGAGAACACCGAUUUGCUCUUCCAACCCCCAAUUUAAAAACGCUUUUAUUUCUUGAUUGUUAAUAUUUUAAACCCUGCUUUUGAAAACCGAGUCUUUAAUAAUAAACCAGGGAACCAAGAAUUGCUACUGCAGCCCGACGCUCAGAAUACUUUGCAGUGAAGUGGGUUGCUUAUAUCAAGGACCAACAGUCGCCAGCGGUAUUUAAAACAAUUUGUAUUUUAAAUUCAAAUUCCUUCCCGCGAAAUUACAUGAGUGCGCUGUUGUCGAGAUAGAUAAAGGUACAAAUGUUACAGUGCGAGUCGAAAUUUGUAAGCAACUAAAUUUUUGUAUUUUAAUGAAAUAAUCUAAAUUUAUUUGGUACAUAAGCAAUCUAUGAAAAUAAUUAUAAUUUUACAACGCUCAACACUGUUAAUGUAAAUGAAUUUUUAUCAGUUUGUUUUGUAUAUUUCUGUGAUGUGGUCAUUUUUACCUCGUGUCCUGUACAUUACAAUUUUUUAUAGGUCUCCUGAUAGAGAAAGAUAAUUAUAGUUAAAUAUGCAGACAAAAAACUGUUUACUUGGGAAAAUUGUGGUGAUAGUAUAAAAAUGUAAUAAAGCAACAAUAGCCAAGGAGAUAGAUGCUUCUUAAUCAAAAACAGCAAUUGAUUAAGAAUAAAAAUAAUAUAUUCAUUUUUUUAGUAAUGAUAUAGUUACAACGAUAAGAACAAAACAGUAAAUUAUCAAUGUUCUGUCCAAAGAUUGAGUCAUUUGUUAACGGUUAUUUAUUUCGUAGGCAUCGGAAGUCAAACAAUUUAUUUCCACAUUUUCAAAAAGUAUUGUAUUUUUUUAAAAAAUCCGUGUUUUCAAAUUACGAACCAAUGAAAAUAAACGAGGUUUUAGUUAUGUAAUUCUUUUAAAAAAAUAACAUGCAAAUGAAAAUGAACAUUUCCCACUCUUAUACCAAUGAAAGGUGCUUAUCAAUUUUUUCACAAGGGUUUUAUAACUAAAACUUCUUACGUUAUUGUAGGUAUUCAGGUAUUUAAAGAAAACGAAAAGAUAACGUAGUACAUAAAAGUACAAAAUAACUGCAAAUUUUAGAAGGUUACCUAUUCAUUUUGAAAUGCUCCAACUUUUUAAUAACUAAAAUCUACAGAUCAGGUAAAUUCAAGUGUAAAUUAAUUUAUUUAUCCUGUGGUUUAACGUUGUUUAUCAUAUAUUCUACAACUAGAUGAAGGCCAUUAAUAAUUCGGGAACAGGAAAUUUAAGCUACAGAAACCGUUUAUUAAUAGACUAAAUAAACUUUAAAUGUAAACAAUUUUUCUUCAAUAACAAUAAGGUACUUCUUAAAUGUUAUACUGCAAUUACCAAAUUUCUUAAUUUCAUUUCGUUUAAUGUUUGAAAAAUUCAAUUUCUUGUCCAUUUGGUCGAAUUUUGUUAUAUGGGUCAUUGUCAAAUUUUGCGCAGGUAAAUUUAACUUAAUAUCAUAUUUUUUUUGAAAAAAAUAUAUGUUUAGAUUUUACUUUUUUCUAUGUCCGUGUCCGUUAAAACAACUGCAUUAUCAUCUAUUAUAGCUGGUCGCGAUGUUCAACCAAUAAUUUAAGAUUUAUUCCACAUUUAAUGGAUCAGGGUGUAAAAAAAAUACAACUUUGUUACCAAUUAGUUUUACCUUUUAUUAUGAAAUUAAACAAGUCAGUAGCAAAUAUUUUGGUAUUCAUAUUAAACAGUCUUAUAUCUUUUACAUAUAAUUAGAAUCAUAACAGUCUUUUGUUAAGUUUAACAAUCAUUAAUCUAAACUCUUAAACAACUCUGUUACUUAUUGAAUAUUAAAAUACCUUAAAUUCUACUUAAGUCCUCCAAAUAUCUAUAUAUUAACAGCUAACUGGAACAUAAUACUGUAUAAUAUCAUAAAUUAGUAACAGAGUUGCGUAGUAACAGAGUGGUAAAUUUUACAUUCCAUUAUACACAAGUCAAAAAAUAAAGCGUAAAGUAAAAUAUUUCGUUCACAUUUAACACAUUUACCCCUCAGACAAUAAACUGAACGUAAACUAAUGAAAAAAUAUUCAUUUACUUAUGUGAAUAGGUAGGUAACAAGGUGGACGGGCAAUUUAAACACGCAGCACGUUCAACACCUUGCGGUCGACUGUCGAGCGACAUACCCCUCCCCCCAACCUAACGAACUCCCACGACGAAUGCAGACAUUUCGCCCAAAAUAAAACAGUGUCCAAAACAGCGCCAUCUUCAUUUUGAGUCGUGAAUUAGUUAGUAACAUAGUGAACCAGCCGGUUCCAGAUAGUACGUGGGACAAAGUUUAGAAAAUUAUUUAAAAACUAAAUUUUAAUACUGACUGAUUUUAAAACAUAUUUUAUUGAAUAUUUAUAAUACUCUGUUUACGAUUAUAAUUUAUAUUAAGAGGGUUACUAUAGUAGAAAAUGCAUUUAUAUGAUGUUUAUUGUAACGGAAUGCUACAUGGGACAGGUACAAUUUGUAAGGAAAACCUUUCUGUUACCACUAAUGACCAUUUUGUUAAUUGAAAAAAAUUGAAAAAUAUCGAAACUUGAGUCUUUAUUCCAAUAAUGGAUGUUCGCUAUAGCGAUGUAUUUUGUAUUUAAUAUAUAAUUCGUUAAG